AGUUAACAGAGAUAUGGCAUGAGCAUAUAUUGGAAAAAUGAUUCACAUAACAAUAGAAAAAUUAAGUGAGACCAGGAUUGGGUGGCUUUGAUGAAUGUAAUUUCGACUUGAACAUGAAGAUGCUUAUAGAACAGUGUUCCUUCCUCUGAGCAUGGCUAUAGAAGAACAAAUCAGUUAGUCUGAAGAUGAAAACAAGAAGCUGAUGGAAGACACAUUCUGAACUGGCUAACACAACACUCUGAAACUGGAGGAUAUCAACUGAUAAGGUAUUAAGUUCUUCCUCAGUUUUAAAUACACUGGGCUCAUAAAUUAUUAACAUAAACAAUGGAUGCCUCAUCAAAUUACCAGGAAGAUAGCUAGAUGUGUACCCCUCUACAAGUGCCGACCCCUCCAAGCACAUCUUUCACCUGGAACUGUGAACUGAAUAGAUAAAUGUGUUGGUUAAAAAGGUCUUUACAUCUUUGAAUUGUAAUGAUCAUGAUUAGUUGCUGAGCUUGCCACCUCCCUGCCCUCUACCUUCCAAGAGUUAUCAUUACAAAGAUAGCCAUUUGGCUUCUGGCAUAAGCUUUAUCAUAAAGCUUGACCCAGAUUGAA